rnacentral:rRNA from 1 species
UACGUAGGGGGCAAGCGUUGUCCGGAUUUAUUGGGCGUAAAGAGCGUGUAGGCGGUUUGGUAGGUCCGUUGUGAAAACUCGAGGCUCAACCUCGAGACGCCGAUGGAAACCAUCAGACUAGAGUCCGGAAGAGGAGAGUGGAAUUCCUGGUGUAGCGGUGAAAUGCGCAGAUAUCAGGAGGAACACCUGUGGCGAAAGCGGCUCACUGGACCAUAACUGACGCUGAUGCACGAAAGCUAGGGGAGCAAACAGG